GUUUGAGCUGAGGGUAGGGAUUGGUGCUAUGACCAUUUUUGUCACAAAGGCAAAAGAAGAGGGAAGCAAUGUUUCUUCUCCUACACAGAUCCCAAAAGUAAAAAGCCACUGUGGUUCUCUACCCUGUGUGAUAGAUUUGAAGCAGAGAUAUCACCGAAUUUCUCCUAACACUACGGCAUAUUUGGCACAUAUUUGGCAAAACAUCCAAAGAAAUCUGAAGGAAGCCAAAGGAUUUGGCUGGUUGUUCUCAGGACACCAGUUUUACAACUUGCCGCAGACAAGCAGCUGCCUUUGAGACAGCCGAAACAAGAUGGUGCUGCAGGAGGAGAAAUCUUCCUCAUGGCAGAGAACCAGCCUAGGGGCUUUUGUUUGUCCAUAUGAACUGAAGCAUUUUAUCUCUGUUACUCACGACAACAAAGAAGCUGGACUUCUGCUUAGAAGCCUCGCCAACCUCUUUUCUAUCUCCUUUCCACCCUCCAUUCAUUUUCUACACUGCGUUGGCUGUGAUCCAGAGAAAGGAAUAAGGUGGGUCAAGAGAGAGAGAGAGAGAGAGAGAGAAAUUCUCUCAUGGAAUGGCAGCAGCAGAAGCAGGAGGAGGAGCCAAAUGCAAAAAGAAAUGAAUUAUUCCCUAACUGAGCUGCCCCUAACUGUUGGAGCUGGUGACCUGCAAGAUGAGAAAGCUAGCAGGCUUUGACCUUGAAUAUAUGAAUGGAGAAGAUCAAUCCCUGUGCUAUAUAAAUAA